ACAGAGGUGCCAAGCGUUAGGCGGAAUCACUGGGCUUAAAGCGUGUGUAGGCGGAUCGUUAAGUACCUUGUGAAAUCCCACGGCUCAACCGUGGAACUGCUGGGUAUACUGGCGGUCUUGAGCCACCUAGGGGCAACUGGAACAAGCGGUGGAGCGGUGAAAUGCGUAGAUAUCGCUUGGAACGCCAACGGUGAAAACAGGUUGCUGGGGGUGUGCUGACGCUGAGACACGAAAGCCAGGGGAGCGAACGGGA
rnacentral:rRNA from 1 species